rnacentral:rRNA from 1 species
GUAAAAAUGACUCUCGGCAACGGAUAUCUCGGCUCUUGCAUCGAUGAAGAACGUAGCGAAAUGCGAUACUUGGUGUGAAUUGCAGAAUCCCGUGAACCAUCGAGUGUUUGAACGCAAGUUGCGCCCGAAGCCAUUAGGCCGAGGGCACGCCUGCCUGGGUGUCACUAA